AACGCACCUUGCACUCCUUGGUAUUCCGAGGAGUAUGCCUGUUUGAGUGUCAUUAAAUUCUCAAAAACCUAACCGUUUUUCAAACGGGCUAGGAUUUUUGGAUGUGAGGGUUUCUUGCUGGCUUCAAUGGAGUCGGCUCCCUUUAAAUGCAUUAGUGGUUGCUUCAUUCACUAGAGUGUGAUAGUAUAUCUACGCUCGGAGUUUAUCAAGCUUCAUCUGCUUCGAACUGUCUUUAAAAGGACAAUUUUAUGACUAUUUGACCUCAAAUCAGGUAGGACUACCCGCUGAACUUAA
rnacentral:misc_RNA from 1 species